GUGGGGAAUUUUGGACAAUGGGCGCAAGCCUGAUCCAGCAAUGCCGCGUGCAGGAAGAAGGCCUUCGGGUUGUAAACUGCUUUUGUACGGAACGAAAAGGCUCUGGCUAAUACCUGGAGCUCAUGACGGUACCGUAAGAAUAAGCACCGGCUAACUACGUGCCAGCAGCCGCGGUAAUACGUAGGGUGCGAGCGUUAAUCGGAAUUACUGGGCGUAAAGCGUGCGCAGGCGGUGCUGUAAGACAGGCGUGAAAUCCCCGGGCUCAACCUGGGAAUUGCGCUUGUGACUGCAGCGCUGGAGUGCGGGAGAGGGGGAUGGAAUUCCGCGUGUAGCAGUGAAAUGCGUAGAUAUGCGGAGGAACACCGAUGGCGAAGGCAAUCCCCUGGGCCUGCACUGACGCUCAUGCACGAAAGCGUGGGGAGCAAACAGGAUUAGAAACCCUGGUAGUCC
rnacentral:rRNA from 1 species